AACGAACGCUGGCGGCAGGCCUAACACAUGCAAGUCGAACGCUGUAGCAAUACAGAGUGGCAGACGGGUGAGUAACGCGUGGGAACCUUCCCAAUGGUGCGGAAUAGCCCAGGGAAACUUGGGGUAAUACCGCAUAAGCCCUUAGGGGGAAAGGUUUAUCGCCAUUGGAUGGGCCCGCGUCGGAUUAGCUAGUUGGUGAGGUAAUGGCUCACCAAGGCAACGAUCCGUAGCUGGUUUGAGAGAAUGACCAGCCACACUGGGACUGAGACACGGCCCAGACUCCUACGGGAGGCAGCAGUGGGGAAUCUUGGACAAUGGGCGCAAGCCUGAUCCAGCCAUGCCGCGUGAGUGACGAAGGCCUUAGGGUUGUAAAGCUCUUUUGCCGGGGACGAUAAUGACGGUACCCGGAGAAUAAGUCCCGGCUAACUACGUGCCAGCCGCCGCCGUAA
rnacentral:rRNA from 1 species